UACAUGUGGGGCAAGCGUUGUUCGGAAUCACUGGGCAUAAAGGGUGCGUAGGCGGUGGUGCACGUCCUGGGUGAAAUCCUUCGGCCCAACCGGAGGUCUGCCUGGGAUACGGCAUUACUUGAGUGCGUGAGGGGUGACUGGAACGCGUGGUGUAGCGGUGAAAUGCGUAGAUAUCACGCGGAAGGCCAACGGCGAAGGCAGGUCACUGGCACGCAACUGACGCUGAGUGCACGAAAGCGUGGGGAGCAAACAGG
rnacentral:rRNA from 1 species